rnacentral:lncRNA from 1 species
GCCGAAGUUGAGUUCUAAUCUUCAAAAGCAUUGCAAGCUUGGUGACUCUAAUGCAGGAGGCAUGUGGCCCUCUUUAAAUAAUGCAGUUUCACAUGAUGGCGGAGAGUAAUAUUCACAAGACAUAUGAAGUCAACCGACAAAGGGAUACAGACAGGGGAAAUUGUCUUCCUAGACAUGGUUGCACGAGUGUGUCAAGCUCAAACCAUUUGUUUAGCUUAGUUUCAACAAAAGAAA